rnacentral:rRNA from 1 species
GAUGAACGCUGGCGGCGUGCCUAAUACAUGCAAGUCGAGCGAACGGACGAGAAGCUUGCUUCUCUGAUGUUAGCGGCGGACGGGUGAGUAACACGUGGAUAACCUACCUAUAAGACUGGGAUAACUUCGGGAAACCGGAGCUAAUACCGGAUAAUAUUUUGAACCGCAUGGUUCAAAAGUGAAAGACGGUCUUGCUGUCACUUAUAGAUGGAUCCGCGCUGCAUUAGCUAGUUGGUAAGGUAACGGCUUACCAAGGCAACGAUGCAUAGCCGACCUGAGAGGGUGAUCGGCCACACUGGAGCGGAGACACGGUCCAGACUCCUACGGGAGGCAGCAGUAGGGAAUCUUCCGCAAUGGGCGGAAGCCUGGCGGAGCAACGCCGCGUGAGUGAUGAAGGUCUUCGGAUCGUAAAGCUCUGUUAUUAGGGAAGAACAUAUGUGGAAGUAACUGUGCACAUCUUGACGGUACCUAAUCAGAAAGCCACGGCUAACUACGUG